CGAUACUAUUUUAAAGGAUGUAGAAUGCGAUAUCGAUGAAAUGGAUGCUGCCACUUUUGACGAAAUUAUUUCUUCUGCUACAAUUGCAGUUGAGAAAAUAAAAUCACAAAAGAAAGCUAUGGCAUGUUCAUCUAGUGACAAUAGAAAUCAUCCUGAAAUUAUCGCUGCAGCUAUGUGUCUAGAUGCUUUUGAGAUUGCUGAGAACAAGGGUGGUUGUUCAAAUCCAAACCUUGAAGCUGUUAAUGUUUCAAAUACUUUAUCAUCUGCC